rnacentral:rRNA from 1 species
AUUGAACGCUGGCGGCAUGCCUUACACAUGCAAGUCGAACGGCAGCGCGGACUUCGGUCUGGCGGCGAGUGGCGAACGGGUGAGUAAUACAUCGGAACGUACCCUGUUGUGGGGGAUAACUAGUCGAAAGAUUAGCUAAUGCCGCAUACGACCUGAGGGUGAAAGUGGGGGACCGGAAACGGCCUCAUGCAGCAGGAGCGGCCGAUGUCUGAUUAGCUAGUUGGUGGGGUAAAGGCCCACCAAGGCGACGAUCAGUAGCUGGUCUGAGAGGACGAUCAGCCACACUGGGACUGAGACACGGCCCAGACUCCUACGGGAGGCAGCAGUGGGGAAUUUUGGACAAUGGGGGCAACCCUGAUCCAGCAAUGCCGCGUGUGUGAAGAAGGCCUUCGGGUUGUAAAGCACUUUUGUCCGGAAAGAAAUCGCGCUGGUUAAUACCUGGCGUGGAUGACGGUACCGGAAGAAUAAGCACCGGCUAACUACGUG